rnacentral:misc_RNA from 1 species
GUACAGGCCCAGAAUAAUUAAACGCCCUAGUGGAACGUUGCGAUAUUUUUUUAAAUUUUAAUUUUGAAGGAAAACAAAAAAAGAAAAGAAAAUUCCACUCCCUGCUUAUUCGGAGCUGAAAAUAACGAGACUCGGCUGCCGAGGGGAAGGAUCUGAGACCAGAAAUGGCGUUGGAGCCUCUGCCUUUCCAGGAAGCGGAUCGCUGUGACGUCUGUAAAUGCAGCUUCAGCGCUUUCCGGCGAAGGCAUCAUUGCCGUCGUUGUGGAAGGACAUUAUGCCACGAACAUUCGUCAAAUCAAAUGGCUCUACCUCAAUUUGGAAUCUACUCCUGUGUUAGAGUUUGCGCUGAUUGUUUUAAUGAUUCUACUUGGUAAGUUUGACACCUUCUUUGCUUAUUGCUAUGUAUUGGGAUGGAAAACUUAUUUCGAGUAUGUUCCAACUUGAGGCGUUUUACUUUAUUGUUUUCUUAAUAGAUGUUGUGUCAGAUUGACAUUAACCUUUAUAUUUUCCCUUGAUUUUUUUCUUUAUUUUAACUCAUCAAGUGGAAGUGACUUCCUCAGAUUAAUCAUGAGGAGGACGGUUGAGUUGGUAAGUGGCAGCAGUUACAGAAAUAACUAAGUUGGUUGUGAAGUGGGUAAAUGGUAUGGAUGGAAUAUGAUUAACUGACCUUUUUUGGAACCUAAAGUUUUGCUUUCGUAUGUACAAUGGAUUUUUACUGAAGUGUUAAGAAAGAAUUUUAGUAAAAGGUUGUGGUUAUUAUAAACUUGACCUUGUAUAAAAACAAGCCUAACAGCCCUUAAAUCAAAUAUUUGUAUCUAGAUUCUUGUGCUCAUUAUUUUAAUUAUAUACACAUUAGAUGCAUCCUUGGUAAAAUUGUCAUGUCUUCAACAUGUCCUGACCUUAUGUCAAUGUUGUAUACAAGGAUUUAUUUAUGGCUCUAUCUCUGCCAAUGUUCUUUUAUGCCAAAAUGUUUUGAAAGCUUUGAAGUUUGAGCUGAUAGGGUUUAAUAUUUGGAGUUCAUUUGCUUGUUCAGUGUGGAAUUGUCGAUGAAGCUUGGCUAUUUUCAAUUUCAAUAAUCUUGAUACUUGAUACCAUAAUUUUCAAAACUGGACCAGCUGGGCCACUGGCCUGUCAGUUCCGUUAAGAGAUGGGUUCUUCUUCAUGAAAAAAAGAAAAGAUGGGAAUCUGUUGGCAGCAGAUAUUGAAUCCACAACCACUAGAAGGGAAGAUAGUGGUUUGUCUUUGUCCACUUGACCAACCUGUAUUUUGUGUGAUAAAUGGUGUAAAUAAUAUAUUUUCUUAAUGUUAACUGGAAUUAUUAAAUUAUUUUGGUAUUUUAUUAUCUUUAUAUGAUUAAAUUUUUAUUUUUAUUAUACUGUAAAAUUGUAAUAUAUCAAAAAUUAUUUUUCAUGGAUAUAAAUAAAUUUAUUAUUAUGAAAUUUUACUCUAAGUAUU